rnacentral:rRNA from 1 species
AACUUUCAACAACGGAUCUCUUGGUUCCCGCAUCGAUGAAGAACGCAGCGAAACGCGAUAGUUAAUGUGAAUUGCAGAAUUCAGUGAAUCAUCGAGUCUUUGAACGCACAUUGCGCCCAUCGGUAUUCCGUUGGGCAUGUCUGUUUGAGCGUCAUU